GUUAGAGGAUAAGUCUAUGAAAGCUCAUUUAUGGGGUAUCCCAAAAGGGUUUGGGAGGUCGCUUUCUCUUCCCAGUAGUUCACAAUAUGAUUAUGAGCAAUCAUACUAUUUUUUUAGAAAUAGUAGAAGUAUGAACUCAAAGAGAAAAUCUCUAAAGAACAAUGAGUCACAAGACCUAUACAACCUAUUUAAGAUGAGCCAGUAUAUAUAGUACUUCCCCCACC
rnacentral:lncRNA from 1 species